rnacentral:tRNA from 1 species
GGAGAGGUGGCCGAGCUGGUUUAAGGCGUACGCCUGCUAAGCGUAUGUGGGGGAAACUCCACCGAGGGUUCGAAUCCCUCCUUCUCCGCCA